rnacentral:rRNA from 1 species
UACGUAGGGUGCGAGCGUUAAUCGGAAUUACUGGGCGUAAAGCGUGCGCAGGCGGUGAUGUAAGACAGUUGUGAAAUCCCCGGGCUUAACCUGGGAAUUGCAUCUGUGACUGCACGGCUAGAGUGUGUCAGAGGGGGGUAGAAUUCCACGUGUAGCAGUGAAAUGCGUAGAUAUGUGGAGGAAUACCGAUGGCGAAGGCAGCCCCCUGGGAUAACACUGACGCUCAUGCACGAAAGCGUGGGGAGCAAACAGG